rnacentral:rRNA from 1 species
AGCGAACGCUGGCGGCAGGCCUAACACAUGCAAGUCGAACGAAGCCUUCGGGCUUAGUGGCGGACGGGUGAGUAACACGUGGGAACGUACCUUUUGGUUCGGAACAACUCAGGGAAACUUGAGCUAAUACCGGAUGAGCCCUUAGGGGGAAAGAUUUAUCGCCGAAAGAGCGGCCCGCGUUAGAUUAGCUAGUUGGUGAGGUAAAGGCUCACCAAGGCUACGAUCUAUAGCUGGACUGAGAGGAUGAUCAGCCACACUGGGACUGAGACACGGCCCAGACUCCUACGGGAGGCAGCAGUGUGGAAUCUUGCGCAAUGGGCGAAAGCCUGACGCAGCCAUGCCGCGUGAAUGAUGAAGGUCUUAGGAUUGUAAAAUUCUUUUACCAGGGACGAUAAUGACGGUACCUGGAGAAAAAGCCCCGGCUAACUUCGUGCCAGCCGCCGCAGUAACAC